CUCUCUUGGUGAUAAAACUAGAAUUAUACGCUUCUUUUCCUUUCCUUUGUGGCACAGAGAUACAUAAAAGAGGGGACUCUUCAUGACAAGCCUUAACUGGAAAUUAAGAACACUGAGAAGCAAGAAGAAGAUGGAUGACAUGGAUGAAAGACAAGCAGGUAGGAAGAGAACUUCUCUCAUUGACCACGUGUUGUGUGACCUCAGGGUAAAGAGAAGUAGAACGAGGAUCCUGGCACUGGGAGCAGUAUGACUGAGUGAUCAGGUCUCACCUUCAGUUCACAUGAAAGAGUUUACCUUGCUUCCUGCCACUACCCCGAC